rnacentral:rRNA from 1 species
UACGUAGGGUGCAAGCGUUGUCCGGAAUUACUGGGCGUAAAGAGCUCGUAGGUGGUUUGUCACGUCGUCUGUGAAAUUCCACAGCUUAACUGUGGGCGUGCAGGCGAUACGGGCUGACUUGAGUACUGUAGGGGUAACUGGAAUUCCUGGUGUAGCGGUGAAAUGCGCAGAUAUCAGGAGGAACACCGAUGGCGAAGGCAGGUUACUGGCAGUUACUGACGCUGAGGAGCGGA